rnacentral:rRNA from 1 species
UACGAAGGGGGGCUAGCGUUGCUCGGAAUCACUGGGCGUAAAGGGUGCGUAGGCGGGUCUUUAAGUCAGGGGUGAAAUCCUGGAGCUCAACUCCAGAACUGCCUUUGAUACUGAGGAUCUUGAGUUCGGGAGAGGUGAGUGGAACUGCGAGUGUAGAGGUGAAAUUCGUAGAUAUUCGCAAGAACACCAGUGGCGAAGGCGGCUCACUGGCCCGAUACUGACGCUGAGGCACGAAAGCCAGGGGAGACAAACCGGGG